AUGUACGCCGGGCUGUCAUUUAUGAAACUGAGCCCAGAUCCAGCCAAUCGUUCACCUCCUCAUAACAAGUCUAACUGGCUCGGGGAAGCUGAAAGGGCUGCACUAAAAUAACAUAGAUGAGAUAUUUCGCAUGAUAAUCUGUUGAUCUGGACACACUCUCCCUCUCGGGGCCAGAGAAAAAUCACAGCUUCAUUGUGUGGAGGAAGGACAGGUGACCCUGGAAAAGAUGGUAGCCCCCGGAGCAA
rfam:Echinops telfairi cont1.345144, whole genome shotgun sequence.